ACAUAUUUCUGCUUGCCCUCUUAUGCUUUUGCCAACGCCAUAAGAAGAGUUUGCCUGGGCCAGCCAGCUGGUCCAAGAAGGAUGAGGGGCAUGGAGCAGAGUCAUCCCAGAUAAGCCCAGACUAGAUCAGCAUGACCCCAGCUGAUCAGCAGACAGGAAAUGUGGGAGGUCUGCAGUCCAUUUCCUACUCGAUGUGGGCUUCAUUUACGAGAAGAACAAACCAACAACAACAAUGCAACCCUCUUCCAGCUCCACUCCACAGCACCCCAUGCCCUGGCGUUGAAUGAGCUGUCGCAUCACCCUACAAGAGGAGUAACGAUCGAGGAGCCAGGAUUUGAACCCAAGGCUGUGUGUGACUCUCAAGGUCAAGCUUCUUUCAUUGAAUCACAGCAGUUGUUUCUACAUAAACUCAAUUCAUUUCUCAAGGCUGAUUGAAAUCAUCAUCUCUCCUGUGAAUUCUUGACUUGUUCUGAAGAGAACUCUGAUGGUUCCAAGUAACAGAAACCCACUGAAAGGAGUUCAAGUAAAAGGCACAGCAUGGCAUUCUCAUCCCAGCCCUGACAAGGGAGGGGAAACAGUCGAACAUCCAGGAAUGCAGGAAUUUGAACAGGUUCCUAGAGAACCACAUCUUCAGGUCAUUAUAUCUGCAAUGCUUGGCCGAGUGCUGAGAACACAGUGGACAUUUACAAAUGAUUUGUUUUACUAGACAAAGUUCACCAAGGGGCAGGACAAUGCAGAUGAUCAAGAAGAAUGUCUUUAUUCUUUCCCUUGCCCACAGAAAGACCAGCAGAACUAUAAAGAGAAUAUCACAUGCGAUCCACAAGUCUUUAACCUCAGUGGCUUAACUGGAGUAUAUGUUGAGAAGGAAAAGAAUUUGACCCUGAGCACAUGAACUCUGAAGUACCUUCUGGAUCUUGCUAAAAGAGACAUCCAGCCAAAAGCUCUGAACCUGUACUAAUAUUCCUAGAGACCAUAUUCUUGCUCUGAUCCCAUCCCUUUAUUACCCAUUUAGAGACGUCUACUAGAAUUAAGAUAAAUGUCUCAUAUGCUA